GGAUAAGCAGGGGAACUGUGGCAUCCCAUUUAAAAUUGCUUCUCCUAAGCCACCACAUAAAAAGUCAGACCAUCUGCUGGAAGAACCACAUGGAGAGGCCCUGAGUCAACAUGGAGAGGAAGAAGGACUUGACUGAAUCCAGCCUUCCAGCUGUCCCUACCAAGGUGCCAGGCAUGAGAAUGAAGCUGUCUUGAACUCUGAAGACCAGCUUAGCCACCAGUUUCUGUGGGCCUCAAACAACACUUUCUGCAUUUUCCCCUCUCGCCCCCUACUCAUCACUCCCUGAAAGGUAAAAGCUGCUGAAACACAUCAAGAGCCAAAGGAAUUCAGAUUGCUGAAAGGUCAUCACUUUGAUAUGAUAAAUAUUAAGAGCAUUCCCAAAGGCAAAAUUUCCAUUGUAGAAGCACU
rnacentral:lncRNA from 10 species